UCUCACACAGCUGAAAUUCGAUCCGGUACUUUACACGUCUCUAUACAAAAGGUGGAGCUUAUGCUGGUUCACGUGACCCUGGUGCGCACCUCUCUAAUAGCUACCAAUCAUCCCUAGUGUCUCGCUCUCAAACCAGAGUGCCCAUUCAAGAUCGGGACAAUCCAAAGACGUCUCGCUGCUCUGUUUUCUGUGGAAAGCGGGGACCCGGACUUAAAUGUGGAAAAACCUUGUUGGUCGAUCUGAGGCUUCCAAAGCAAUCCGGACUGCGCCUCCGGUGUUACGUGAUCCUGGACGAACAAUCAAACUCUUCCUUUGUCAAUCCCCUUGGUUUUACCUAUUUUGCUGCGUCCUCUCCAAGCCACUUGUACAACAUGUCGACACUGAGUGGGCACAAACACAGUAAGGAAGGAAGGAUCCUCGAUGGACUCGUGGUCAAGGGUGUAAAUGAAGAAGCAAGCUUCUCGUUCCCUCCAGCGUUCAAAAAUGAGAUGAUUCCUAAUACCAAAGGCGAAGUGGCCACCCCUACCAUGGUCAAGGCUCAUCGCCAUGUUGCGCAUCUGGCCCAACAUCUCAACGAUAUUGAUGCAACCGUUCCUGUCUUGAUUUUCAGUGGGCGUGAUGCGGGAGACGCUCUCUCAACCAAGCAAUAUGGGAAACACGUCCCGUACUCACACCACACUGCGUUGGGAUGGUGGGUUCAAUGUGCCCCCUUACAAAGUGUGGACCAAGCCUGCAAUUCCAAACGUUACGUACAAAUGUAGAGCCUGCUAUUGAUCACGACCACUCAAGAGCCUCUGUAACCUUUAGCUGUGUGCCCAAGUUGGAUUCAACGCCCCUCCUACACGACGUAUUUGCCUCUAAUUCUGACGACAAAUUGACAGAGAAUUCACAAGAGGACUCAUGAUUCAUUAACAUUGUUCAGCAAGGCAUACAUUUGAAUGAAAUGGAAAACCUGGAGAUGCCUCUGCCGCUCAAAAAGUCGACACUCACUUGCCAAACAACCAGAUUCCGCUUUUUUGUUUAAACAACUUUGAACAAACUCAGGGAACAACCCGACAGACUGGAGCCUUGUCUAGAGGCCAUCGGAGCAACUAUGCAAUCGAAAGACGUUGAACCUGUUACCAAGGAUAGCCUUAAAGUAGUAGAUGGAAAGGCGUGGUGGUUGCAUGUGUUUCCCAUUUCAAUCCAAAGAAAUCCAAACCAUGUCUUGCUUUGAUAAUUCGGCAAUCUAUUAUGACAUGAGCCUUAACAGGGAACUCCAACAGGGUCCAGACCAAAUCAAUAAGUUGAGGGGCGUUUUAGCUCGUUUUGGCGAGGGAAAAAUCGGGUUUGUGGCGGAUAUUGAAGACAUGUUUCACUCCUUUCACCUAAAUCCUGAACAUUGGGACUUCCUAAGAUUUUCUUGGUUUGCCGACAAUGAUCAAUCUAGGGAGCUAGUUCAAUACCGCUCAUGUGUCCACAUCUUUGGGAACUGCCCAAGCCUAGCAGUAGUAUCCUUUGGCCUUAACUAUGCUACAGAUUGGGCAGUGAAUGCUUCACAAAGUGUAAAAGACUUUUUGAAGAAGAACAUUUAUGUGGACAAUUGCCUUGGCUGCUCCAACUCCCCUGAACUUGUCAUUGCUGUGCUCAAGGAAGCCAGAGGGAUCUUAAUCAAGUAUAAUAUUUGCCUUCACAAGAUUGCCCCCCAAUAGUAGAAAUGUCCUGGAGGCGUUUCCUAGUGAAGAAUGGGCGGAAAACCUUAUUCAAGUGCACUUCAACGAGCUUCCCAUUCCCAUUGGGAUGUCAAAUCUGACUCCUUCAUCAUCAAAGUUCAAAUCCACGACAAGCCAAAAGAGAUGUUUUGACCGUUGUCAACACUGUCUCUGUUUUGGAGGGACAGCUUUUUCAACGGAGUGCCAUUAUAUCUAAGAAGCAGGAGCCAAAGGAUCUGGAAGUUUGUGGAUGGGACGACCCAUUGCCAGACAGGUUUCAGCCCUCAUGGGACAAUUGGAAGGAGAUGCUUUCAGGAUUGGAAUCAUUAUCCAUACCCAGAGGACUUUUCCCUCAGGAUUUUGGUCCCCUUGCUAAACAAGAAAUACAUGUGUUUGCUGAUGUUAGCUUGGAGGCUAUUGGCCGCGUCAUCUACUUGCGCAAUAUCUCCGAAGUAAGCCACAUCCAUGUUGCCUUCUUAAUUGGGAACUCCACCGUAGCCGCUGAAGGUUUGGAGCCCUUGAAGCAACGCAUGCGUCGGCCGAAUUUCUUAUGAACUACAACGCAAACCAAGUGCCGUUGUCUAUUACUCUGAUAGUCAGGUGGUGAUGGGCUAUUUAACUUGGAAACACUUGGAGAGACGAUUAAAAGGUAUGUGUCUCAGAGGGUUUCCUUCAUAACUCAAUUAGCCCCACCCCAGAGUUGGCAAUACUUUGAAUCACAAUCGAACCCAGCUGACAUUGCUUCAAGACCGCAAGGUCCACUGUCGUUGGCUAAAAGCUGUUGGUUCCAAGGCCCCCAAUUGCUUUGGACCACUGAAGCCAAAAACCCGUCUGCCUUGUCGCUACGACCAAUUCCCCUAGAUGACCUUUCAGAGAUCGUCCCUGAGGGCACUCCAACAAUUGUACUUUCAACCAACAUCAUCUGUGACGGGGGAAUUUUCCACAACCAUUUCCACAAUUUAUCAUCAUGGUCUAGACAAAUCAGGGCCACAACAGUUGUUCUUGAAAGUGGUGGGCCCUGGUUGCAAAGAGCAAGGCACAGCUUGAAAAGACAUUUUCCUGUGAAUAUCCAAGCCACUGAAGAUCAUGCACAGCCGUCGUCAUAUCGAGUAAGUCAGUCAAGUUAUUGUGCAGACGUUUCGACACUUCUUUCUCGGGGAAAUCCCCGCCAAACCCACAAAUUGGCCUCACUCUCGCCAUUCGUGGAUGGUGAUAGUCUACUACCAGUGGGAGGUCGAGUUAAAUAGAGCCAGGUUCUGUUUGACUUUGCCUGUCCUAUACUUCUGCUAAGUGAACAUCCAGGUAUCCACUCCAUUCUCUGCUACUUUCAUGCUGAAGUUAUGCACCAAGGGAGGCACCUCACUCUUGGAGCCGUGCGAAAUGCUGGAUUUCAGAUUCAAAAUGGAAGAAAUGCCAUCCGCAGGAUGUUGGCUAAAUGUGUUGUGUGUCAACGGCUUUGUGGGUCGCUUGAAUCCCAACAGAUGUCCGACUUGCCCCUGGAUCGAGUGGAGCCCAGCCCUCCAUUCACAACUGUAGGCCUUGACAUUUUUGAGCCCUUUUUGGCACAAGAUGGACAACCGACCAGGUGCACAAAGACUCAGAUAAAAAGCAUGGGGCCUCCUAUUGAUAUGCCUUGUCACACGAGCCGUCCACAUCGAAAUGCUGCCCGGCAUGGAUACAAGCUCCUUCCAAAACGCAAAACGACGAUUUUUUUUUUUGCCUUGAGGGGCUCAGUUAAAGUUAUCCAAAGCGACCAAGGUACUAACAUUGUGGGUUCCAUGAACCCAAAUCAAGAUGAACCAGAUCACUCAGCCAUCUACAAGAUCAUUUCACGCCAAGGCUGUGAAUUGUUGCCUAGCCCACUCCACGCUUCCCAUUUUGGAGGUGUAUGGGAACGCAAGAUUGGCAGUGUAAGGCCUGUGUCGGAAGGGGCCCUCUUGAAUCUCCAUGGAUGGACAUUAAGCAGAGACAAAUUGGGAACUCUCCUUUGCGAAGUGUCUGCCGUUGUAAAGUCUACACCACUGUGGGAGGUUUCCCACGACCCCAAUGACCCAAUGUCUCUGACUCCGGCCAUGCUGCCCACCCUCAAGAUUGAGCCUCACACCUCCACCUCCAAGGUCUUUACAGAGAAAGAUGUUUUGGCUUACGGGAAGAGGAGGUGGCAAUGUGUGCUAAGCUUGGCUGACCCAUUUUGGGUCCUUAUGGCAACAGGAUUAUCUGGCAAUGCUCCAAGAUCGGUGCAAAUCGAUUCGUCCCAGGCGCUCGCUACUUCCUGGUGAUGUAGUCUUACUACGUGAAAAGGCCUUGAAAAGAAGUCAGUGGCCUUGUGCUUUGGUGGACUCAGUCUACCCACGGACUUCUAGAGCCUAGGCAUGAUAGUCUAGUCCGCUUGGCAUCGGUUAUUGUGACCCAAGCUGGUCGAACUGGAAAAGUUCCAAACGAUUGCACGACCGUCCCAUAUGCGAUCUGGUGGUGUUAAUCACAAAGGACGAGUGAUGCGGGGGAGUGAUCCGUGCAGCAAGCUGAGAGACCGAUAGAUCCACCCCAAGUGGUCACCUUGGCCGGCUCCUUGGAAUGUCAUGCAGCGCCAUCUUCGUCCCAGCUGAUGAAGAAGAACCACGUGGCCGACCCCUUCUAUGCCUAAUACCACUUGUUCCCCGUUCUUUAUUGUUAAUGUUGCGAUCUUGACUUCGUCCUCCAAUAGUUUGUAAGUUAGUUUUGACUCAUUCUAUUACCUUUACUCACCACCCUGUUUAUAAUCUAUUUCAUCCAGUCACCAGCAAAGUUCACCCAAUAAACCAUUACAUCUAUGUA